GUUUAUGCUAUUUGAUAGUAACCUUUUAAUAGUGAUUGAUAUGCAUUGAAUGAUACUGUGAAGUUUUUUAUGUACUUGAUUUUGUGGUUGUGUGGCUUGAUCGUGUGGCUUGUGAUUGGUCUGAAAUCCUGAGACCAUGAAAUUUAUAAUCUUCAACCUCUUUGUCGAAGUAAUGCCUUGAAUAAAGAAGGCUUGAUGAAAUCUUAUCAAUGAAUUUAAAAGUAGUGAUAAUAAAUGAUAACUUAAUGGUAUUAUUGGAUCGGUGUGUCACGUUCUGACACUAUAUUUUUGGAUCGGAGUGUCACAUUUCGACAAGAUAUGCUUGGAUCAGAGUGUCAGUGUGUCACGUUCCGACACGGUAUUCUUUGAUCGGAGUGUCACAUUCUGACAGGGUAUUCUUGGAUCGAAGUGUCACGUUCUGACACAGUAUAAUUGGAUCGGACGUUCCGACACAGUAACAUUAGAGGAAAAGGAAAUUGAAAUAUGUUAAUGUACUCAAUUUGAAAGAACUCAUUUUCCAAAUGAGCGUGGCAUGGAGGCAUGGGUCCUCAUUGGUGUGCUUGAUAUUGUGAGUGAUUACUUAGUCAUUUGUUUAUGUUGUUUAUUUCUUACCACUUGUUAAGUGUCAUAGUUGAGUUCAUACUAUUAUUCAUUGUAUAUUACUUUCUAUUUUGGGUUGGCCGAUGAUACCUACUCAGUACAUGUUACCUCGUAUUGAGCCCUACUUGUAUUUUUCUUUGUUUUUCUUUCAUGGAGUGUAGCAAGUGUACCGGCAAAUUUGACUCGCCCUCAGCUCUAGCAAGUCUCGGCAUAUCAUGUUCAAGGGUGAGUUGUUCAUUCGAGCUUGGGUUGGAUUCUCUUGGUCAUUACAUGCUGUCCUUAGUUUUCGGACACAAAUUACUUUAUUUCAUUUAUUUUGUUGUCUUUAGUACUCUUAGACUUAGUAAUUGGAGAUUAGAUGUCCUUGUUGUGAUGACUUUUAGGUUUUGGGAACGAUUAAUUAAUAAGUUUUGAAGCUUCCGCAUUAUUUUGUUAUUCGUAGUUGAGUUAUUGGUACAUGUUGGUAUUUGGAUUCCUUGGUUCGCCUACCUAGGUAGUUAAGUUUGGGUGCCACUCACGACUCGAUUUGGGUCGUGACAUAGUAAUUUGAGUUGCAUUAUUUUCUUGUGCACUUGAGAUGCUCUAAUUAAUGUGGUUUUGGUCCUAAAUUUUUGCCAUGAUUUAGUUAAAUUGUUGACCCUCUUGAAGACAUUUAUAUAGUUAUUAAAUAUUUGCUAAAGCUACUGUCGGGAUUGGUAAAAUGAGAGCAUAAUUCAUAUAAAACGUGUCAUAAUGUUAAUAUAUUAUUUGGGUUAUAUAGCUAUGUGUUUUAACUUGAUGUUAACCAUUUUAGAGAUAAUUUUUUCUAAUGUAUUUCUCAUUUUUCUAUGUUGCAUGUGAAAUUUGACGGGGUUCACUUUGAAUUCUCAUAUUUCUCCUCGCAUUUUGGGAGAGCAGUAAAGGCUUAAUUUCGAUAUCAUCGAGUCAAACCCAUAAAUUGAUGAAUAGGUUCCCGAGAUGAAGAAUUUGAAACAAACGGAGAAGUUGAAAUAUUGGACUUAAGGCCCACUUUUUUAUUUUUCCAAAUAUUGUAUUUUGUUAUUUUUUGUGUUAGCCCUUAUCAUGUUGUAUUAUUAUUAUUCGGUUAGUUUAGGACAAGUACCGUUGGAAUGAGCCAAAAGCUCAAAAUGAAAUGGGUCCAAAUACCGGUCCAUACGAAUAAAAAACCCGACUCUCUUUCUCUUUUAUUUUAUCGCUUAUUUGCUUGUUAAUUAAUUGUCGUUAGUUUUAAGGUUAAAGAAUUCAAAUCUCCACUAAUCGUUAUUUCAUUUUGAUGAUUCAAAUUAAAUUGAUCGUCUUUAAAUAGAUUUAAAAUAAUAAAUAUAUUUUGCGAGUCAAUUAACUCACUCAGAUGAUAAGUAAAUUUUCACCCUUUUAAGGAUUCAAAUUCUCUUCGAUUCAAAUCAAGUUAAGUUUUAAGCCAAAUCAAAUUAGUUGUCGAAUAACCGCAUGUAAGCACACAUUUUAGAUGCUUUCAAAACCUUCCUAAGACGUUAAUAAGAACCCCCGAACCCAUUUAAAACUCUUUCAAUUUGAUUUUCCAUUUUAGUCAAUUGGAAGAAUAGUCUUCUUAAUUUUUCUCAAAAAUUAAGUGGCGAAUCUAAACAAGUCUAACAAUUAUGAAAAUAUUUUUUACUAAAUAAAAUAAUGUGUGAGAAUAGGAAGUGUUUAUCCUAGUAGAAAAUAAAGAUAACGAUACCAGACUAGAAAGUGUUUAUCCAAGGAAAAAAAAGCAUAACAGUCUUAGACUAGGAAGUGUUUAUCCUAGGAGCGAAUAAAAAUAACGGUCUUAGACUAGGAAGUGUUUAUCCUAGGAGAAAAUAAAAAAUAAUGUCUCGAACUAGGAACUGUUUAUCCUAGGAGAAAAUAAAAAAAAACGACUCAGAUUAGAAAAUGUUUAUCAUAUCAGGAAAUAAAAAUAACGGUCUCCGACUAGAAAGUGUUUAUUCUAGGAGAAAAAUAAAAAAUAACGUCUCAAACUAGGAAGUGUUUAUCGUAUGAGAAAAUAAAUUAAUGGUCUCAGACUAGAAUAUGUUUAUCCUAGGAGAAAAAAAAAGGUCUCUAUAACGACCUGUUUAGUCGUUUUGAGCAGUAGAGUUUAUUUCUGGCAAUAGCUGUCUGGGUCGACGGAUCCCACGACAGACCGUCAUGGGCACGACGGACCGUCGAGGGGGUCUCGUUUCAAAACACUUAGACUCUGGAAAUUUGGGUACUGAGAACAACUCUCUGAACUUCGCGACGGAAGAGCAGCACGGACCGUCGUAGGUAUGACGGACCGUCACAGAGUCUUUAAUGUAAUUGAGCCUCUAAACUCUGUGACGACGCUGCAAGAGGACCGUCGCAGUCAUGAUGGACCGUCACAGGCGGCGUAACCCUGACUGGGUCGGAUUUCUAUUAAAAGUUUUUAAGGGGUGUUUUGGACUAUUCCUGCUUAUGAUUAUAAAGUUAGUGGUUUAAUGUUAAUAAUUCAAUUACUUGGGGGUUAAAGGAGAUAACUUUGAAAUAAAUAGUGGUUUAAUUUUACCAUCUUUUAUACUUAAUUAUAUGGUAAUUAGGGUAAAAGAAAAAGAGUUUGAAUAAGGAAAAAUAGAAAGAACAGAAAGAAGAGGGGAGAACGAACGAGAGAGGGAGAAACGAAGAGGAAAGCAAAGCAAUGGAGAAGUAGAUUGGUUGAUCACGAUUCUUCGGUGGAGGUAGGUUAUGGUUUAUGCUAUUU
rnacentral:lncRNA from 1 species